rnacentral:rRNA from 1 species
UUAAGUUAUUAAGGGCGCACGGUGGAUGCCUUGGCACUAGAAGCCGAUGAAGGACGUUACUAACGACGAUAUGCUUUGGGGAGCUGUAAGUAAGCUUUGAUCCAGAGAUUUCCGAAUGGGGAAACCCAGCAUGAGUUAUGUCAUGUUAUCGAUAUGUGAAUACAUAGCAUAUCAGAAGGCACACCCGGAGAACUGAAACAUCUUAGUACCCGGAGGAAGAGAAAGAAAAUUCGAUUCCCUUAGUAGCGGCGAGCGAAACGGGAAGAGCCCAAACCAAAAAGCUUGCUUGUUGGGGUUGUAGGACACUCUAUACGGAGUUACAAAGGACGACAUUAGACGAAUCAUCUGGAAAGAUGAAUCAAAGAAGGUAAUAAUCCUGUAGUCGAAAAUGUUGUCUCUCUUGAGUGGAUCCUGAGUACGACGGAGCACGUGAAAUUCCGUCGGAAUCUGGGAGGACCAUCUCCUAAGGCUAAAUACUCUCUAGUGACCGAUAGUGAACCAGUACCGUGAGGGAAAGGUGAAAAGCACCCCGGAAGGGGAGUGAAAUAGAACCUGAAACCGUGUGCUUACAAGUAGUCAGAGCCCGUUAAUGGGUGAUGGCGUGCCUUUUGUAGAAUGAACCGGCGAGUUACGAUUUGAUGCAAGGUUAAGCAGUAAAUGUGGAGCCGUAGCGAAAGCGAGUCUGAAUAGGGCGUUUAGUAUUUGGUCGUAGACCCGAAACCAGGUGAUCUACCCUUGGUCAGGUUGAAGUUCAGGUAACACUGAAUGGAGGACCGAACCGACUUACGUUGAAAAGUGAGCGGAUGAACUGAGGGUAGCGGAGAAAUUCCAAUCGAACCUGGAGAUAGCUGGUUCUCUCCGAAAUAGCUUUAGGGCUAGCCUCAAGUGAUGAUUAUUGGAGGUAGAGCACUGUUUGGACGAGGGGCCCCUCUCGGGUUACCGAAUUCAGACAAACUCCGAAUGCCAAUUAAUUUAACUUGGGAGUCAGAACAUGGGUGAUAAGGUCCGUGUUCGAAAGGGAAACAGCCCAGACCACCAGCUAAGGUCCCAAAAUAUAUGUUAAGUGGAAAAGGAUGUGGCGUUGCCCAGACAACUAGGAUGUUGGCUUAGAAGCAGCCAUCAUUUAAAGAGUGCGUAAUAGCUCACUAGUCGAGUGACACUGCGCCGAAAAUGUACCGGGGCUAAACAUAUUACCGAAGCUGUGGAUUGUCCUUUGGACAAUGGUAGGAGAGCGUUCUAAGGGCGUUGAAGCAUGAUCGUAAGGACAUGUGGAGCGCUUAGAAGUGAGAAUGCCGGUGUGAGUAGCGAAAGACGGGUGAGAAUCCCGUCCACCGAUUGACUAAGGUUUCCAGAGGAAGGCUCGUCCGCUCUGGGUUAGUCGGGUCCUAAGCUGAGGCCGACAGGCGUAGGCGAUGGAUAACAGGUUGAUAUUCCUGUACCACCUAUAAUCGUUUUAAUCGAUGGGGGGACGCAGUAGGAUAGGCGAAGCGUGCGAUUGGAUUGCACGUCUAAGCAGUAAGGCUGAGUAUUAGGCAAAUCCGGUACUCGUUAAGGCUGAGCUGUGAUGGGGAGAAGACAUUGAGUCUUCGAGUCGUUGAUUUCACACUGCCGAGAAAAGCCUCUAGAUAGAAAAUAGGUGCCCGUACCGCAAACCGACACAGGUAGUCAAGAUGAGAAUUCUAAGGUGAGCGAGCGAACUCUCGUUAAGGAACUCGGCAAAAUGACCCCGUAACUUCGGGAGAAGGGGUGCUCUUUAGGGUUAACGCCCAGAAGAGCCGCAGUGAAUAGGCCCAAGCGACUGUUUAUCAAAAACACAGGUCUCUGCUAAACCGUAAGGUGAUGUAUAGGGGCUGACGCCUGCCCGGUGCUGGAAGGUUAAGAGGAGUGGUUAGCUUCUGCGAAGCUACGAAUCGAAGCCCCAGUAAACGGCGGCCGUAACUAUAACGGUCCUAAGGUAGCGAAAUUCCUUGUCGGGUAAGUUCCGACCCGCACGAAAGGCGUAACGAUUUGGGCACUGUCUCAACGAGAGACUCGGUGAAAUCAUAGUACCUGUGAAGAUGCAGGUUACCCGCGACAGGACGGAAAGACCCCGUGGAGCUUUACUGUAGCCUGAUAUUGAAAUUCGGCACAGCUUGUACAGGAUAGGUAGGAGCCUUUGAAACGUGAGCGCUAGCUUACGUGGAGGCGCUGGUGGGAUACUACCCUAGCUGUGUUGGCUUUCUAACCCGCACCACUUAUCGUGGUGGGAGACAGUGUCAAGCGGGCAGUUUGACUGGGGCGGUCGCCUCCUAAAAGGUAACGGAGGCGCUCAAAGGUUCCCUCAGAAUGGUUGGAAAUCAUUCAUAGAGUGUAAAGGCAUAAGGGAGCUUGACUGCGAGACCUACAAGUCGAGCAGGGUCGAAAGACGGACUUAGUGAUCCGGUGGUUCCGCAUGGAAGGGCCAUCGCUCAACGGAUAAAAGCUACCCCGGGGAUAACAGGCUUAUCUCCCCCAAGAGUUCACAUCGACGGGGAGGUUUGGCACCUCGAUGUCGGCUCAUCGCAUCC